UUCUACAGGGGUGGCCGCUUUCGUCUUGGAGAAUAUCUGUAGCGUACUAUAAUCACUUAACACAAAGUGGAAGAUGAGGUCGUUCAGAGGUCUAAGUAACAAAAAGAAACAACUAAACUAUUUUGAUCAAAGUUCAAUAAAAAAGGCUUUAUUUAAUUUAAUUAUUCUGAACGAACUCUAUGACGUCACAUGUCAGCAAUGUCUACUCCGUACAGGGAAGUCUUUAUGUUCGGAAAGCACUGAGAUAGAAUAGAAAACGCUUUGUAUCGUACUCAGAAUUAUAUACAAGGUUAAAAUGAAAGAAAUUCAUGUCGUCAUUUGUUAUGUCUGCUCGGACUCCGCACAGGUAGCUCUUUGUAUCCGGGAUUAAACGUAUGAUCGCUGAUUUGUAUUGAAAAAUUCUUUCGGUUUGUUUUUUAAAGAAAAUAUAUGUCAGUGGCUUAGGGUCCGACGAAGUCUUGCGGCGCGUUGGAGUAACAAUGGCGAAGAUCGAUUCGCGAGUCGUAAUUGUUACUUUGAGAACUUUGCUAUCUCCGUCAGAAGUAGCCACGGACUUCAAAGGACUGUGAGAACACGAAGUCAUCACAAAAGGCACGAUAGCUCUAUAAUCUGUUUGGCGAUCUUCGCUUGACCGUAUGGAUCUGUAUAUUUGACCUGAGUUCAGCCAUCGCAUUAUUUAUAAUAAAGAUUUCCAUUUGAA